rnacentral:rRNA from 1 species
UACGUAGGCAGCGAGCGUUGUUCGGAGUUACUGGGCGUAAAGGGCGUGCAGGCGGUCUGUUAAGUGCAGGGUGAAAGCUCCCGGCUCAACUGGGAGAGGUCCUUGCAUACUGGCGGACUUGAGGGGGGUAGAGGAAAGUGGAAUUCCCGGUGUAGUGGUGAUAUGCGCAGAUAUCAGGAGGAACACCGGUGGCGAAGGCGGGUCUCUGGGCCGUAACUGACGCUGAGGAGCGAAAGCGUGGGGAGCGAACAGG